rnacentral:rRNA from 1 species
ACGCUCGACACCUACGGGAGGCGGCAGUAGGGAAUCUUCCACAAUGGACGCAAGUCUGAUGGAGCAACGCCGCGUGAGUGAAGAAGGUUUUCGGAUCGUAAAGCUCUGUUGUUGGUGAAGAAGGAUAGAGGUAGUAACUGGCCUUUAUUUGACGGUAAUCAACCAGAAAGUCACGGCUAACUACGUGCCGGCAGCCGCGGUAAUCUGAGCGGGCUGGCAAGGC